AAUUUGUGGGCAAAUUGAGGGUUAUACGACCCUUACCCGCAGUGUUUUCUGAAUCCCCGAAAUCAAGCUACGCUCGUGGGCUGAGACUGCAUAUAAAUUUAUAUGCAAUUCGAAACAUGAAUUUUUCUUUAAGGUUUUCCCGAUGCCGUACCGUGUAAACGGGCAGCAGUGGAAAAGCUUGGGAUAGAUUGCCCAAAAAAUUUCAUCGAUAUAGGUAUAGAGCACAGAAAACUGAAGACUUGGCAAAGGCAAAAGAGGUUCUUGUGCCAAUAAUGAAGAGGAAUGCACGAGAGGA
rnacentral:misc_RNA from 1 species